AUCGGAAGGUGCGGCUGGAUCACCUCCUUUCUAAGGAUUGAGUAGAGAUUUGUUUCACUGUUCAGGUAUUAAUCCUGAAUUAAAUAUGAUUUCCGGUGGCGAUGCGGUUAGGGGUAACACCCGUACACAUCCCGAACACGAUGGUUAAGACCUAAUCGGCCGAUAAUACUACGUUGGAGACGACGUGGGAAGGUAGGUGGCUGCCGGGUUAUGGGCUUAUAGCUCAGCUGGUUAGAGCGCACGCCUGAUAAGCGUGAGGUCGGUGGUUCGAGUCCACUUAAGCCCACUGAUAUCGAAUGAUAUCUAAUUAAAUACGUAAGUUCCAAAUGGGGGCGUAGCUCAGUUGGGAGAGCACCUGCCUUGCAAGCAGGGGGUCAAGAGUUCGAAUCUCUCCGUCUCCACUGGUUAUUAAAUGAUAACCUGAUAGCAACUUGAAAACUUCAUACAGUAGAGAUAAUGAUUUUAAGAUAAUCUUAAAUAUCAAGACAUCCGAGAAUUAACAAACCAAAAGUUCUUAUUGAACAAUUAAAAUAUCGAAGCUACAUAUUUUCGAGAUUGA
rnacentral:misc_RNA from 1 species